AGGAAUUUAGGUUAAAUACACAAACCAAGGGCCUUCAAAGCCCUAAACAGGGGCCAGACCCCUAAUUCCUG
rnacentral:tRNA from 1 species